rnacentral:lncRNA from 1 species
CUUGUUUCAGGUCGUCUAAAUCUGGAGUUCUAGACUGUAUGAUCUACUGGGUUGCCUGCGCUGGUCGUCGAAGCCUACCGAGGUGGUGCCCCACUGUUGCCAGUGUCUCCCUACACCCCUCCUCCACACCACAAGGACGACUGAGAUAUCAGGUUGUUGUUGUUGCUCUUCUACUACAUCUUCAGGUUCAGAAAAGGCAACAACAACGUUUCGCUGUGCGGUGUAGGCUGCGGCGGCAGGACCAUUUUCCUCUUGAAAUUGUUUUAAUUUAUGCAUUUCUCCUACUGCCAACAGAGGAGAAGAAAGGCCAGCACCGAGCUACUGCUUGUUUUUGCUUGCACAGCCAAUUUGUUCGUUGCUAGGAAGAAGACAAAGAGAGAAAAUUAUGGAGUUAAAGAGAUAAAAGAGUAGAGUGCCUACGUGGUGUGGAUAUGAAACGUGUGGUGUGUGAGAGGAUAAGGGAUACUAUUCAGUGAUAAAAAUAACUUGUGGUUCAGAGAAAAAGCAACGUUCUAUUUACCUAGUGCUCACGAUCAGCUAUAAAGCUUGAAUUUUUUUAACUCUGAUUCACACUACAACUUUAUAAAAGAAUUUGAAAUUAUUUGCUCUAAUAUUUUCAAUACCUACAGUUCAAAAAUAAGAAUAGUUUUCAAGAUAUGAAAUACUGGACAACAAAGAAGAAA